UCCCAUGAGCAAGAUGAUUCUCGUACUUAUGGGGCGCACACGCGUGACGAUCUGAGGAUCGUCCGGCGAAAGCCGCGUGUGCGCUGAGGGCCCCUUCGAGGGCCCUUUUUUAUUGCUCGGA
rnacentral:sRNA from 1 species